GCUUGUCCAGGCCUGAGCCUGCCUCUAGCUGUGUGAUUACAGGAUCCUAGAUCACGGAUCUGCCCCCAAAGCUUGCAGCAGGCCCGGAGAGCAGUGCCCUGCUACAUCUCUGCCCUCCUGACCGUCUCCUUUCCUCAGGAGCAGUGACCAGACAUCAAAACUAAGCCCAGUCCAUCUGAAGCCAUUUUCUGCCUGAAACAAGAUUCCUUUACCCAGAUAACAAGAGAAGGCUUUGGGUUAAAAGGUUUACAGUCAAGAAGUGAUUUGUUAAUUAAUCGUUGCCAUCUCCUGGGAAGCAGGGAACGGAGUCCUUGUUCUGUUAUCAUGAUGCCUGUGUUGCACAAGAGACCCUAGGAGUAAUAACCUGCUUUUGAGGCUAUGAUGCAAGAGUUGAGGAAUUGCUUUGCCCUGAAGGCAGCCUUCCAACAUGUUCACAUGUUUCCAGGAACUGAGGACUGCAGGAAUGCUAGAUAACACCAGGUCUGGUGCAUCUCAGGCUGUUCCACAUGUAUAAUAGGAAAGUCAAAUGGCUUUAAUACAAACUCUUGCCUUCUGUGAAUGAGAAGAAAGGAGGAGACGGAACAGCCCACCCUAACUUCUCUCCUUGUGUGAUGCCAGCUGUGAGUGUUUCUUUGGCAGUGUCUUAGCUGGUUGUUGUGAGCAAUAGUUAAGGAAGCAAUCAGCAAGUAUACUGCCCUAGAAGUGCUACACAUUGUUGGGCCUGCUUCAUAUCUCCCUGGCUUGCGAGGUGGAUGGGGAUCCAGGCUGGGAUGCUGCCCAGAUGUACUGUGUUGCAUUGGAGCUUGGGUUGCCUGAUGGAGCAAAGAGCUAACAUGAAAAAUGCUGCGGGAUGCUUAAUGUGGUGACUGCAUCAGAGAUGAGAUGAAGAAAAGAAGAUGAACACGUUGCAAGUUGCUUUUUUCUUCCUUUGUCCUUUCCACAUGUAUUUUCUUUAAAUAAAAUUCCAACUGUCAUUAGUAA